UUCAGUUUUUUUUUCCACGCUUGUCCUAUCUCAAUCAUUUUUCCACAUUUUAGGGCACCACAAAAAGGUCCCAACUCCUGUGAAACCUGAAGUGCAGAAGGCAGCACCACCUAUUGAAGUGCCUGCAUUGCCUUUGGAUGAACUGAAAGAAAAGACGGACAAUUUUGGAUCAAAGGCAUUGAUUGGUGAGGGAUCGUAUGGAAGGGUGUAUUAUGCAAACUUAGAAAAUGGCAAAGCAGUGGCUGUUAAAAAGCUUGAUGUUUCCUUUGAGCCCGAGUCAAAUGUUGAAUUUUUGACUCAGGUAUAUCUGAAACUUCAUAGAAGCAUAUUGUUUUUAUUAUUACUUUGUUGUUAUUGAUAGCUGAAUUUACAUUUUUAAUGCAUAUGUUUUUGUCCCGCUAUUUUAUAUCAGGUUUCAAUUGUUUAAAGAUUGAAGCAUGAAAAUCUUGUCGAGUUGCUUGGUUACUGUGUUGAAGGAAAUCUCCGUGUUCUUGCUUAUGAAUUUGCUACAAUGGGAUCUCUUCAUGACAUAUUGCAUGGUACAUUGUGCAUCUUGCUUAAUCUUAACCUGCAUUAUUGAUUCACUUGCUAAGAUUGCCUUGAUUAGAAGAUAGGAUGAGCUGAUUUGGAUUAUACAUGUAAUUACAUGCAUGUGUUUCUUUUCCCCCUACCUCUCUUUAUUGAUGGGUUGUGAAUGGUAUAUUUAGAACUUAGUUGCCUUUUUUUUUCCCCCAAUUUUCUGAAAUGAAAUACCCUUUUGUAGCAAUUUUGAAUGUCAAAUUAACAUUGUAUGGUUAUACAUCAUUUUACUGUCAAAUCUUUUUCUCAUUUUGAAUGUUGGCUUAUGAUUAAUUUGUUUAAUUGUCCGGCUGUGGUGCGGAAUUUCGUGUGUAAUGUGUGCAGGCACAUGCACCUUCUCCAGGUUACUUUGUACGAUUGGAUAAAGGUCCUGAAGACGAUCUCUAUUUGAAGAAGAGAGUAAAGAUGCAUCGCUAGCUCUGUUGUACUUGUCAAGUAGAGGAGUCUUAUCCAUCUUAUGAAAAUGAGCGUCUGAAAAGCCCAAAGAAUUAUCCAGAUGGUAUGUUUCUUUGGCCCUUAUUGUCUCGAUUUAUUCUUGAAUAGUGAAGCAGCUUUUGAAUAGAUGUAAUACUUUGAAUUCCUUGUUUAUAACAUCACUUUUAAUUGGUCUUGCAAUUAUAUUUGGGUACAUUUAAUAAUUUGUAAUGAUUCCGAACUUUUAAUUGUUUUAUGUUUAGAUAGAACGAUUUGGACAUGGCUUUGAUCUCGCAUUUUACAACUUAAUAAGAUAAAUUAAAAUUCAUAUUUAUAUUAGGAAAUUCUUGAUAAUUUUAGCACUUGGUUUUUAAUAUUAUGUUGGACAAUUGCUAGAGAUGAGAAAAAGUUGGUUAUGAGUUGUUUUGAUGAUCAGAUGGGUACCAAUGUCAAGGAUUCAGCAAUUAAUAUCUUUUACUUUUCCUCAUAUAUGGCUACGCUCAAACUGAAAUUCAAAAUUGUUUUAUGAGAGCUUAUUGCAGUAGAUAUUCUAUUCUUCUUGCAGAAAAUUGAUAUAUCAUUUAAUUAGCAACAACUAGUUUCAUUGUGACUCCAAAUACAUAUUUGAUGUUGUAAUUAAGUUUAUUUUCACAUAAGGCCUUCAAAAGUAGCUAUUGGCAUAAUUUCAUAUGGUUAAAAGGAUAUGAAUAGAUUUUUUAUUUAUGAAUAAAGGCAUACAUUUGUAACUAGGUUCAGUUUUUUUUUCCACGCUUGUCCUAUCUCAAUCAUUUUUCCACAUUUUAGGGCACCACAAAAAGGUCCCAACUCCUGUGAAACCUGAAGUGCAGAAGGCAGCACCACCUAUUGAAGUGCCUGCAUUGCCUUUGGAUGAACUGAAAGAAAAGACGGACAAUUUUGGAUCAAAGGCAUUGAUUGGUGAGGGAUCGUAUGGAAGGGUGUAUUAUGCAAACUUAGAAAAUGGCAAAGCAGUGGCUGUUAAAAAGCUUGAUGUUUCCUUUGAGCCCGAGUCAAAUGUUGAAUUUUUGACUCAGGUAUAUCUGAAACUUCAUAGAAGCAUAUUGUUUUUAUUAUUACUUUGUUGUUAUUGAUAGCUGAAUUUACAUUUUUAAUGCAUAUGUUUUUGUCCCGCUAUUUUGUAUCAGGUUUCAGUUGUUUCAAGAUUAAAGCAUGAAAAUCUUGUCGAGUUGCUUGGUUAAUGUGUUGAAGGAAAUCUCCGUGCUCUUGCUUAUGAAUUUGCUACAAUGGGAUCUCUUGAUUAGAAGAUAUGAUGAGCUGAUUUGGAUUAUACAUGUAAUUAC
rnacentral:lncRNA from 1 species